CUUGGUCAUUUAGAGGAAGUAAAAGUCGUAACAAGGUCUCCGUUGGUGAACCAGCGGAGGGAUCAUUACCGAGUUUACAACUCCCAAACCCCUGUGAACAUACCAAUUGUUGCCUCGGCGGAUCAGCCCGCUCCCGGUAAAACGGGACGGCCCGCCAGAGGACCCCUAAACUCUGUUUCUAUAUGUAACUUCUGAGUAAAACCAUAAAUAAAUCAAAACUUUCAACAACGGAUCUCUUGGUUCUGGCAUCGAUGAAGAACGCAGCAAAAUGCGAUAAGUAAUGUGAAUUGCAGAAUUCAGUGAAUCAUCGAAUCUUUGAACGCACAUUGCGCCCGCCAGUAUUCUGGCGGGCAUGCCUGUUCGAGUGUCAUUUCAACCCUCAAGCUCAGCUUGGUGUUGGGACUCGCGGUAACCCGCGUUCCCCAAAUCGAUUGGCGGUCACGUCGAGCUUCCAUAGCGUAGUAAUCAUACACCUCGUUACUGGUAAUCGUCGCGGCCACGCCGUUAAACCCCAACUUCUGAAUGUUGACCUCGGAUCAGGUAGGAAUACCCGCUGAACUUAAGCAUAUCAAUAAGCGGAG
rnacentral:rRNA from 1 species